GCAGGAACGAUCCCGGCGGCGAGCGGCGGAAAGGAGAGGCCGGCUAAGAAUAUGCCCUGGUGUGUCGGAUACCCAUUGAGGACGAAGGCUAAUUCCGUGUGAUGCCUACGGGCACUCCAGGCCGACCUUCGACCCUCUCUCGGCAAGAUAUGCCUAGGCGGGAUUAGCUCGCCGUCGGGUGCGGCCUCGCCAAGGCGACGAUCCCUAACUGGUCUGAGAGGAGGAUCCUUCACACUGGAAGUCCACACGGUCCAGACUCCUACGGGAGGUCCCUGUGGAGAAUAUUGUUCAAUGGCCGCAAGCCUGAUGCAGCCAUGCCGCUCGUAUGAAGAAGGCCUUCGGCAUGUAAAGUACUUACCUGCCGGAGGGGAAGGGCGACCUGAAUAACAGUGCCGUAUGACGGGAACCACUCACUAAGCACCGCUUAGCUCCGUGCCAGCAGCCGCGGUUCUACGGAGGGUGCGAGCGUUAAUCGGAAUUACUGGGCUUGAGCGCAUGCCCGUGGUUUGUUAAGACAGAUGUGAAAGCCACCGUACUGGCCUCGCGAAUAUAC
rnacentral:rRNA from 1 species